AUCGUUUCUCAGCCUUUUGGCUAAGAUCACGCUAAGAUCUGUUUUUAUUAGUUUAAUAUCUGAUAUGUCCUCUAUCUGAGGACAAUAUAUUAAAUGGGUUUUUGGAAGUAGGAGUUGGAAUAGGAGCUUGCCCCACCCACGCCACGUAUUGACCUGGUAUUGAAGUACCUCCAGGAAUGGUGCAAAAAAA
ensembl:snRNA Gm24763 predicted gene, 24763